UCUCUGUUUUAAUAAGCAAUAAUAGAAAAGAUUUUUCAAAGGGCGCUGGGAAUAUAACCUACUGACAAGAGUGCUUGUCUCGUAUACAUGAAGCCCUGGGUUCAAUUCCUCAGCACCACAUACAUAGAAAAGGCCAGAAGAGGCACUGUGGCUCAAGUGGCAGAGAGCUAGCCUUGAGCAAAAA